CUCACUCUCUACCUGGAGGCUCUGUCUACAGCCCAGAACUCUGACAGAAUAGAAUGCAGCUUCUCGAACCUAUGUGGAGAACGUUUCUUACAGAGUUGGAAUUCGGGGCCGGUCCACCUGAGCCUCCUCUGCCACUUGAAACUCACUUUUCCUCAGAAAAGAAUAGAGAUCAAGCUUCUCCAAACCUUGCUUAAAGUAUUUUUGUUGUAGUAUUGAAUACUUUCCCUUGAAGUAAUUUCACAAGAAAGUACAACUCUUAAAAUAUUGUCUUAUCUUCCUAGCCACCUUCAGUUUUAUAAAGAAUAUCAAUAGAAAAAUGAGUAGGGGAAAACAAAACACUUUUUAAAAUGGACUAUAUAUAGUCAAUAAAGUCCUUUAUAGCCUGUUUUCUGACAGCCAUCCUGGUAAAAUCAGAUUUAUUUCAUAAUUUUCUCCUUUUUCCUAAAAGGGAAGUACAAUGCUCAACAAAUAUGAUUGUGGUCACAGCGUACUGAGAUUUCUGUUUUGUUUUGAAAAAUAGAGGUAUUUGUAUCUAAGGAAAAUUUUCCCAAGAAAAGUCGUACUUGAUGUUGAAAGCCAUUUCUAAUAUGGAAACAAUAGUAUCUGAAUGUAUCUGCAUAUACAUAUACUUUAAAUUUGUAGUAUUUCAAGAACAUUUGAGUUAAAGUGCUUAUGUGAACUAGGACAAGGGUCAAAAAAUAUGGCUUCUAAGUCCAGGCAUCAGUGGCUCAUGCCUAUAAUCCUAGCUACUCCUGAGGCUAAGAUCUGAGAAUUUUGGUUCAAAGCCAGAUCAGGCAGACAAAUCAGAUGAACCCUUAUGUCCAGCAAAAACCAGCC